rnacentral:rRNA from 1 species
CAGUAGCCACGGUAAUACGUAGGUCCCGAGCGUUGUCCGGAUUUAUUGGGCGUAAAGGGAGCGCAGGCGGUUUAGUAAGUCUGAAGUUAAAGGCAUUGGCUCAACCAAUGUAUGCUUUGGAAACUGUUAGACUUGAGUGCAGAAGGGGAGAGUGGAAUUCCAUGUGUAGCGGUGAAAUGCGUAGAUAUAUGGAGGAACACCGGUGGCGAAAGCGACUCUCUGGUCUGUCACUGACGCUGAGGCUCGAAAGCGUGGGUAGCGAACAGGAUUAGAUACCCGUGUAGUCCCUGUCUCUUAUACA